UGUUAAAUGACCCUGAGCGUCAUGAUAAUCGUGUACACAGUUACAUACAAUAUGUUCUAUUAUGAAAUAAAUUCUUCUUGUUGACUUUUAAGUGUAUUAAAUCGGUAAUUCCGGUAUUGUGUACACUUGUUGUUUGACUUGUUGUGUGUAGAUGAAAACAAAACACACACUGUCGGCAGAAAUAAAAAUAAGAGAACCUGAGAAAAAUGGAUUAGUAAAUCUGAACUUUGUAUGCAGCACAAACAUUUGGUCAAACAUUGUCGGGUAAGCAGCAAUUAUAUUAAUUUUAAAAAAGUUCUAUUAACCUCAUUAAACAUGUUAAAUAAAACCUUAAUUAUCAUCUGUGAAAUUUAAAUGUAGCGUGCCAUUUCCCGAACUUCGAUCCUCCUUCUUUAAUUGACUUUUUUACCUAUUGAUCUAAAUGAUCCGUCUUUUUCACCUGUUUUAAGUUAUUUUAUUCAAUUCAUUAGAAAUAUUGAUUAGAUUUAUGUUUGUCGUUGCAGAACGGAUCUUUUGUCACAAUAAUUUCAGUCAAGACAGAAUUUUCCGAGUGAUACAUAAAGUAUGGAAACUACAGAACUUACCGGUGAUGGCAUUGAAUCUGUACACGUGUGGCAGGCGUAUGUAAUGUGUGCAAUGACAACUGUUAUGUUUUAUAUCUUGGGAGAAAUCUUGGAUAGACUCGGGAAACCUAAAUGUGUAGCACCAGAGGUAGAGUUCUGGAAGUGGAGAAAUAUCACGAUAUCAUGGAUACAUGGAGUUAUAUGUGGAACGUGGGUUUUUUUAUGGCAAGUAUAGAAACUUAGUUUUAUAUAGAUAUAAGAAGAUGUGGUAUGAGUGCCAAUGAGACAACUCUCCAUUGUUAUGUUUCUUUUGUUGUGCUUUUGUCAUGUUUGUGUAUCUUUUCAAAUUUUUUUUAUCAAAUGCAAUUUUGAAAUAAAUAUAUAAAGAAAGUGUGGUAUUAUUGCAAGUAAUAAGUAAAAAUGUUUCUUCUCAAGUCUCAAUUCAAGAUUAUUAUGCAUCCAAGUCACAACUUGUAAAAGUAAACCAUUAUAGGUUUAAGUACAGUCCCCAACAAGGAUGUAUGGCUUACCGAACAGCAAGUUAUAAAAGACUCCACAAUUGACUUAUAAGUGCAAACUACUAAAAGGAAAACCAACGACCAUUUAGAGAUGCGUAUUACAAUAAGUAAAUAGUUACAUCAAUAAAUUGUACGAUAAGAAUUUAUAUUAUAAAUGGAUAAAUUAAUAAAUAAGUGCUGAUAGAGUCUGCAUAUUACAAUGUGUUAUACAAACAAGGAUAUAACAAGCUUUAUUGAGAUUUUAAAAAUGACACUCUGUUAAAUUUGUUGAUAUAACAAAAUACUUUGCAAGUAAUACCCAGGCCCGUAGCCAGGAAUUUCCAAAGGGGGGUUAUUUGGCCUCAAAAACUCGACUUUAACAGUCACAAUUCGAACAGAACGUUAACAGUCACUAUUUGUUUUCAAAGGGGGUUAGGGGGGGGGGGGUUCGUCCGAACCCCCAACCCCCUGGCUACGGAUAUGAUACCUAUAUGUAGCUAUAGCCAAGACAGACAUUUAAUAUUUCAUAGUAUCUUUAUUUUGAUAGAAUGUUGAUUUUGGGUAUUCGCCAACAAGACAGAAAAAGAACGAUAAUGUUCCACAAAAAGACUCCAACCAAACAAAAUAAUUGAGUCUUUAUUUCUUGUCGAAAAUAUAAACACAUGAAAACUUAGAGUAUUUUUGGUGCUUAAAAUGUCUUUUUUUUUCAAUCAACCAACGUUGAUACAUAUAAUUAACAAAGACAGUUUGCACUUUCAUGUUUUUAUUCCACCUUUUUUGUGUUUUAGCUUAGUUUUUAUAUCCAGAUUUAGUACGAGAUCCAGUGGCUUACAUAAACAAUUUCAUGUAUCUAAUGGUGCCCUUUUCUGCAGGUAUUUAAAUUAAAGUUAUUUUCGUAUACAAUAAAUGCGCACACAUGUAACCAAAAGCUGCGCGCAAAUGUAACUAAAAGCUGAGCUGAGCGCACAUGUAAUGGUAAUGCUCGCAAACGUAAUGCACCGAUAUAAUAUAAUGUAUUAUUGUCCAUGUCAUUACUUUUGUUUCGCUGUGUGUAUGUAUGAUAGUGUAAUUGUUCUUUUCUUUAAUAUGAGGUCAUCUUUCACUCUAAUGUUUAUCUAUGACUAUACAUGUAACAAUUUUAACAAUUUGUAUACAUACAAAAGGCGAAAAUUGCAAAUAAGACAACUUUCCACCACCGAUUAAAUAAUGUAGAUGUAAGAAACUAAUGGUCACCGUACAGCCUUCAACAAUGAGUACAAUACUUACCACACGGUAUAAAAAGCCCCGUCGUGAACAAUUGUGAAAAUAUUCGAAAAAAAAAAAAAAAAAAAAACCACCAAAAACCAACGUCAUAAUUUAUAUCAAAUUUAUAAAUAAAAAACAAGUUUGAAAGAAAGUUGUAGCACCCAACGAGUCGACAAUCAUUGGAUUACAUGAUCCUGGCUUGGGACGGGCACAUGAAGAAUAUGCCCGGGUUAACCAUGUUUGUGAGUCGCUUCGCUAUAAAUCCUCCAAUCACCUCGGACAGUAGCAUACCAACACAACAUAAGCACAAACUGUAAAAAAUAGUUGGACAUGUUCCGACUCAUCUUAUCGAUACGAAAACAUUAAAUCUUCUCACAUAAAGGCAAUUUGCUUACAUAUUUUUCUUCUUUUAGUACCAAAUUUUUUAUUUUUUAUUUUCUGUCUUUUAUCAUGUUUGGUUAAAUCAAGACAAUACACGCAAUGUACUCUUCUGUAAAUAUAAUAGCUUGUACACGCUUGUUUCUUCGUAUAUAUUACGGCUAAAGUAUAUUCUAAAUGUUACAAGCCUUCAAAUUAUAUGACUUGUGAUUCAAUAUAAUAUAAAUGAAUCCUAAAUAUUGUUAUUUUUACUUAACUUCGUGUUUAUUUAUUGUCUUUUACGUAUGAUUUAUUUACCCACCAAGUCUCAACCCUCCUUUGUAUAUGAUGACUUUUAAAUAAGGAUUAAAUACUUUGCAUAUACUAUUCAAUUCAAUAUUUCAGUAAGACACAAAGGAACACAUAAUUACAUGCGUAUCAUGUAUUAACUUGAUAUGUGAGCAUAACAGUGUUUCUUUUGACAUAAUGCACAUCAGAUUUAGAUAGUAUCUGAAUCUUUUAAAAACACAAAAUCAAUCCAUGCAUACCAAAGACGACUUUAUUUUUUUGCAUUACUUUGGACCCCUACCAUUUGAAGGGAAUAAAUUGACACCUCUUUGUUAAAAAGCAGGAUUUAGGGGCGGGGGGGGGGGGGGUACUUUUUUUUUUUGGCUUGUUAGUUUCAGUAGUUUGAUUUUUUAAAUAAAAAAAUCAAAUUUCCGUCUGGUUCCUUUAUCCUUGCUUUGUUUCGAAUAUAUGAUAUGCAGAUAAACAAAAAUGUGUACUAGUUCACAGAAAAUGGACGUCACACUAAAUUUCAAAACUGAUAUAAAUGAACUUGAAACAAAUAAAAUAAAACAUACAAUGCUGGGUAAAACAUGUUUUGUAAGAUAUUAACCCUCACCCUCAGUAUACCUUUAUCAAAUGUAGCCUGGCAUCUUGGCCAGAUCUAUAGCUAAAAGUUGGGCCACGACUCCCAAGAUGCACCCAGGCUAUAUACUAUGUAGAAUAAACUAAGCACACAGCAAUUCAAACAGUAAAACUCAGUUCAAAAUAAGUCAUGUAUAUAUUUACAGGAUAUUUCAUAUAUGAUACCAUAGACAUGAAGGUGAACAAAAAGAUAGGAACAUACUGGGAAGUUACUUUACAUCAUUUUGUUGUAAGUAAAACAUAGAGUAAACACAUUGAUAGAUAGUUAAAUGUUUAACGGCAAUUUAUUAAAACAAAACAAAACGCAAAAUAAUUAUACAAUUGCAUUUAAACAAAGCAGACAAUUGAAGAAAACAUUCAAUCGGACGCAAUGAUCUUUUCAAUACUGAUGAAAAUCCACCGUACUAUUUCGUACGAACACGGUUUCCAUUAAUUUUCAAAAAACAUCCAUAGAAAAUAAACUGGAACAUUGUCAACAUGUACCAAAAAAGAUAUAUUAAGUACCAGAUCAGUUAUUAUAUACCUUUGAAAAAUAUCAUUAAAGUAAGGAAAGUUACACCUUUGAAAAAAUACCAAUAAAGUAAGGAAAACUAGAAAAAGAAGCUCCAUAGUUAACGAAAUGUGAAAAUUUAAAUGAAUAUAAUAACGAAAAACGAAAAGGACACUGAGAGGUAGGACCAGUCUAUGUUGAUUCUUAAUUAUCACGAGGACAUUUUACCCCCUCCCAAAAUAAAAAAAAAAAAAAAAAAAAAAAAAAAAAAAAAAUACGUUUGACAACUGUUUAUUUAAAACUCACAGUUUAUUCUUGGAUGAAAACUAUGAGAAAGAUGAUACUUAUUAUAAAUUGUUAUGAUUUUAUCCUUUAUUUACAGAUAGUUUCGUCAUUUAUAUACAACUUUAACAUAAGAAGCUGCAUAGGGUAUAAUGUGAUAAUACUAAUGGCAGAAAUAAAUACGAUAUUUCUACAUAUGAGAAAACUCUUACAGAUGUGUCAUGUCGGAUUUGACACUAAACUAUACCGAUUUGUGUCUUUAACUAAUAUUUUUACGUUCGUUACUUGCCGCCUAAUUCCAAUUUUACGUGUUUACUCAGGAUUAUAUUUAGAUUUUCAUAGAGUAAGUUUAACGUAUGUUAUAACGUUUUGGUGGACUAUAACAACUGGACUAGUAAUAAACUUGAUAUUAUUUGGGAGACUUGUUAAGUCUGAUAUUUUAAGAGGUUUUUCUAGAAAAGGAAAAC
rnacentral:lncRNA from 1 species